rnacentral:rRNA from 1 species
GACGAACGCUGGCGGCGUGCCUAAUACAUGCAAGUAGAACGCAGUUGCGAACGGGUGAGUAACGCGUAGGUAACUGCCUCAUAGCGGGGGAUAAAUAUUGGAAACGAUAGCUAAUACCGCAUACUUUGAGAUGGACCUGCGUUGUAUUAGCUAGUUGGUGAGGUAAAGGUCCACCAAGGCGACGAUACAUAGCCGACCUGAGAGGGGUAUCCGCCACACCGGGACUGAGAAACGGGCCAGACCCCUACGGGAGGCAGCCGUAGGGAAUCUUCGGCAAUGGACGGAAGGCCGACCGAGCAACGCCGCGUUAGUGAAGAAGGUUUUCGGAUCGUAAAGCUAUGUUGUUAGAGAAGCGGUACCUAACCAGAAAGGGCCGGCUAACUACGUGCCAGCAGCCGCGGUAAUAC